rnacentral:rRNA from 1 species
CGGUGUUCAACUGGCGUGUCCGCGGGACGUCCUGCCGGUGGGCUUAGCCCGCAAGGGCGGCCCAACUUCAAAUCCCAUCGCGGUGCUCUUCACUGAGUGUCGAGGUGGGCCGGCACGUUUACUUUGAACAAAUUAGAGUGCUUAAAGCAGGCUAAAACUUCGCCUGAAUACUGUGUGCAUGGAAUAAUGGAAUAGGACCUCGGUUCUAUUUUGUUGGUUUUCGGAACCCCGAGGUAAUGAUUAAUAGGAACGGAUGGGGGCAUUCGUAUUGCGACGUUAGAGGUGAAAUUCUUGGAUCGUCGCAAGACGGACAGAAGCGAAAGCAUUUGCCAAAAACGCUUUCAUUGAUCAAGAACGAAAGUUAGAGGUUCGAAGGCGAUCAGAUAUCGCCCUAGUUCUAACCAUAAACGAUGCCAGCUAGCGAUCCGUCGACGUUCCUCCGAUGACUCGACGGGCAGCUUCCGGGAAACCAAAGCUUUUGGGUUCCGGGGGAAGUAUGGUUGCAAAGCUGAAACUUAAAGGAAUUGACGGAAGGGCACCACCAGGAGUGGAGCCUGCGGCUUAAUUUGACUCAACACGGGAAACCUCACCAGGCCCGGACACCGGAAGGAUUGACAGAUUGAGAGCUCUUUCUUGAUUCGGUGGGUGGUGGUGCAUGGCCGUUCUUAGUUGGUGGAGCGAUUUGUCUGGUUAAUUCCGAUAACGAACGAGACUCUAGCCUGCUAACUAGGCGUAUUUUCGACAUCUCAAAGGUCCGUCGUCCCGGCCCUCGGGUCGUGGGCGUGCGCGAUUUUUACUGUCGGCGUACUAUCAAUUCUUCUUAGAGGGACAGGUGGCUUCUAGCCGCACGAGAUUGAGCAAUAACAGGUCUGUGAUG